UUUUGGAAACUUUGGUUUUAGUCCUCCAAAACUAACGCCGUUAAAAAAAAUCUAACGUGACUAACGGUAGUGUGCCAUGUCAUUUUUUUUUACUCUGAUAAGCCAGCUUUUAUCCCUCCUUCUCCCUCUCCCUCUCCCUCUCCCUCUCCCUCCGACUCUACCACAGUGGCCACAACCAUCAACCGCGAAACCUCCAUACACAACCACCCUCCACCAAGCUCACCUCCAUGGCCAACGUAAAACCUCCAUCUCCACUGUCUAAAAAACCCUCCAAAUCGCGUUUCUGAUUUGGGACAUCAAGCUCGAGCGAAAUGGCGAAAUGUCUCCAUCUCCACUUGUCCAAGGAGUCCACGGUGUCGCCUCCCCCGCCACUUCUCGUCGCUCCUCCGUCGUGUGCUCGCCCCUCCGUCGCGUGCUCGCACCUCCUUCGUCUCUUCUUCUGUCGCGUUUCUCUCGCUGCAUCAAAGGCCGCACCACCACAGUUCGUCCACCAUCGGUGCCCCCAUUGUCUCUUGCGAAGUCCUCCAUUGUCUCCGCUGCCACACAAAUUGGGGUUUUCUGUGUAGGUUUCAUGGACGAAGUAUGAGGAGGUUGUUGGAGAUGAAGGAACUCACGAUUUGGCUCACGAUGGUGAUGGGGAAGCAUCACGAUUUGGCUAUGCGAAUUGAGAAAUUUUUGAAUUGAUUUUGUGAUUCUGGUUUGUAGGUUUCUUUGGAUGGAGGUUUUGGCUUUUACUGCAGGUGGUUGGAUGAUUGAUGGAGGCAUUGCAUGAGGAUGAUAAUGAACUGGGUUCUUGGCUAAGUGUUUUUGCAGGUCUGGAAAUUUCUGAUGAUGGAUGAAGAAGAUGGUCUACGGUGGUCUACGGUGGUGUUUUAGGUGGUCUGAUGCGAGAAAGACGAACCUGCAAUGAUAGAUCACGAUGGCGCAUGAUGGUGUUGGCGGCGUGUGGAGUGGAAGAUUAUUCAAACUAAAUGACGGUGCGAUCUCGUGGUGGUCGGCCGGGGAAACCAGGAAGAUCAUACUGCCUCGGAGGGAGAGGGAAGGAGAGAAGCUGGGUGACCAGCGUAAAAAAAAUUACAUGGCACACUACCGUUAGCCACGUCAGAUUUUUUUUAACACCGUUAAUUUUGGAGGACUAAAAUCAAAGUUUCCAAAAGAUUGAGGACUAAAUUGUACCUUAUUUUCAAAAGACUAAAACCAAAAACAAUA